rnacentral:rRNA from 1 species
GUGUCAGCAGCCGCGGUAAUACAGAGGUGGCAAGCGUUGUUCGGAAUUACUGGGCGUAAAGGGCGAGUAGGUGGCCAUCUAAGUCAGACGUGAAAUCCCCCGGCUUAACCUGGGAACUGCGUCUGAUACUGGACGGCUAGAGUUUGGGAGAGGGAUGCAGAAUUCCAGGUGUAGCGGUGAAAUGCGUAGAUAUCUGGAGGAAUACCGGUGGCGAAGGCGGCAUCCUGGACCAACACUGACACUGAACCGCGAAAGCUAGGGGAGCAAACGGGAUUAGAUACCCCGGUAGUCCUAGCCCUAAACGAUGAAUGCUUGGUGUGGCGGGUAUCGAUCCCUGCCGUGCCGAAGCUAACGCAUUAAGCAUUCCGCCUGGGGAGUACGGUCGCAAGGCUGAA